AGAAUCAACGCUGGCGGCGUGCCUCAGACAUGCAAGUCGAACGAUUAAAGCUCUCUUCGGAGAGUGUAUAGAGUGGCGCACGGGUGAGUAACACGUAAGUAAUCUACCUUUGAGUGGGGAAUAACGUCCGGAAACGGACGCUAAUACCGCAUAAUGCAGUGGCAUCGCAAGAUGACAGUUGUUAAAGAUUUAUCGCUUGAAGAGGAGCUUGCGGCAGAUUAGCUUGUUGGUAAGGUAACGGCUUACCAAGGCUACGAUCUGUAACCGGUCUAAGAGGACGGUCGGUCACACUGACACUGAAUAACGGGUCAGACUCCUACGGGAGGCAGCAGUCGGGAAUUUUGGGCAAUGGGCGAAAGCCUGACCCAGCAACGCCGCGUGAAGGAUGAAGUAUUUCGGUAUGUAAACUUCGAAAAGAAUAGGAAGAAAUCAAUGACGGUACCAUUUAUAAGGUCCGGCUAACUACGUGCCAGCAGCCGC
rnacentral:rRNA from 1 species